UCGAAGGGCCGAAUGGCCUACUCCUGCACAUAUUUUCUAUGUUUCUAUGUGUCUAAUAGAUGUGAUAGCGUGAGUCCAUGUUGCUGUUGAGUUGGGAGCCGUGUUUCAGCUCCGCCCGCUGCACCACUCGGUUUACAAGUCCCGCCCACAGCCGCGCCCUCUUUUGCCGGGUAUUUAAUUCUCUCUAAGAGGGGCCGAAAUCCAACUUCCUUGCAGUUGGUUUGUUGCGAGGUUCUGUACAGAAACAACAGGGUCACACUUCCCAGCGGGAUGAUGUCGGCGGUUUCACUGAGUUUGUUCCUGGCGUUAAUAGUCCGUGUCCAUUCCGAUAUCGUUCUAACCCAGCCCGAGACAGAGACGGCCACUCCUGGAGGCUCCAUCACACUGACCUGUAAAGCCAGCGGGUUCAGUAUUAGCAGCUACUAUAUGGCUUUGGUCCGUCAGGUCCCCGGGCAGGGGCUGGAGUGGCUGCUUUCCUACUACACUUCUUCUUACAAGUACUUCGCUCCGGGGAUAGAGAGCCGAUUUACUCCGUCCCAAGACAAUACGAAUAAUAUCUUCAUCGUGACGGCCAGCAGCCUGAAGAUCGAAGACACGGCUGUCUAUUACUGUGCGAGACACACAGUGUGAGCAUUCAGUGUCAGACCCGUACAAGAACGGCACGUUAGGAAGUCCAGCUUUUACCAUCAAAGACUAGAGGUGAGCAAUUAUUCCUACAGCUAUAAUAACAGUCGGGAAAUGGAGGCAAAGUACCAUUCACAAAUCCAACACGAUAUUCAAAAAUGUAACCAGCGUAUUCGUGUGAGUUUUUUAUAUUCGCUUCACGCAUACCCAUAGGCGUUGUGUAAAACCAUAGACCAGGAAAAUAUGCUCAUUCCAUUAUGCAAGUGAGAUGAAGGGAGAUUGUUGGUGUUGUGUAUAUUUAUAUUGUUGGUGUUGUGUAUAUUUAUAUUGUUGGUGUUGUGUAUAUUGUGUUCUCUGUGAAUUGCUGGACCAUUUAAAAUCGUGUCGAAGGCCGUUUCAAAUGAAACCUGAGUGUGAACUGUAUGGGAGGUUUUUGUGCGGGUCUGUCUCACUGUGUACAACAGUGGGUCACGGUGCUACAAACAGCGACUUCCCCGUACAAAAACCCUGACACCUAGUUUUCUCCUGCUCCAACCUACAAGCACCGUAGGAGAGGCCCAGUGAAGAAAAAUCAAAUAAUAUUUCACCGUUUAAAGUUACAUGGAUUGUUUUGAGAAAUGUCCAACUGUCUUCCGACCAAUUAACGUUAUUUUAUGAGCUUUAGAAGAACAGCGUUUAGCUGUAUAAGUGACAGCGAAGAGUCCCCUGGGACAUAUCGUCUGUGAGCAGUACAUGCACCAGUUCUUGAAGAGCGAGGUAUUUGACAUGGUAUGUUUCACUGUGUAUACUGGAUGGCACAGCGGUUCCUACCAAUACAAAAACAUCCACAACCCAUAAUACGGUGGUCUGGGCCAGUAUAUGAUAUUUUCAAUUCAAUAUUUCAUACAACAAGAGCAUAAACAUGUCCAGGAAUAUUUUCGCACAUUUUGUUGUAUAGGUAACUUGAAGUAAUUUGUAUUUUAUAUGUAGAUAAUUCUCAUCACAUUUCACUGCCCUGUUUAAUACACGGAGCCGUGGUAUCUGAUUAUUGUUGGAAAUGAUUUAUUUAACGCAUUCAUUAUUUUCAAAGAGCAAUAAGUCAUUCACCUUCGAUGUGAAAUACGAAUAAUUACAGGAAUUUUGUUCUUUUUUGCCUACCUUGUGCAGAUCAUGUUAUUGUGCGAGGAAGCCCAUAGAAUGUAACACUGUGACUAUCUUGACUACU